rnacentral:rRNA from 1 species
UUAAGCGACUAAGCGUACACGGUGGAUGCCCUGGCAGUCAGAGGCGAUGAAGGACGUGCUAAUCUGCGAUAAGCGCCGGUAAGGUGAUAUGAACCGUUAUAACCGGCGAUUUCCGAAUGGGGAAACCCAGUGUGACUCGUCACACUAUCAUUAACUGAAUCCAUAGGUUAAUGAGGCGAACCGGGGGAACUGAAACAUCUAAGUACCCCGAGGAAAAGAAAUCAACCGAGAUUCCCCCAGUAGCGGCGAGCGAACGGGGAGGAGCCCAGAGCCUGAAUCAGCAUGUGUGUUAGUGGAAGCGUCUGGAAAGGCGCGCGAUACAGGGUGACAGCCCCGUACACAAAAGCGCAUGUGCUGUGAGCUCGAUGAGUAGGGCGGGACACGUGGUAUCCUGUCUGAAUAUGGGGGGACCAUCCUCCAAGGCUAAAUACUCCUGACUGACCGAUAGUGAACCAGUACCGUGAGGGAAAGGCGAAAAGAACCCCGGCGAGGGGAGUGAAAAAGAACCUGAAACCGUGUACGUACAAGCAGUGGGAGCCCCACCACUAAGCCAGUGGUGAACUCCACAUACGCAUCCUUUGCUGAGGAUACGGUUAACGGAGCGAAAGCGACGUUCAACCUCAAAAGAAGCAGAGGGGGCUUAGUGGUGGGGUGACUGCGUACCUUUUGUAUAAUGGGUCAGCGACUUAUAUUCUGUAGCAAGGUUAACCGAAUAGGGGAGCCGGAGGGAAACCGAGUCUUAACCGGGCGUUAAGUUGCAGGGUAUAGACCCGAAACCCGGUGAUCUAGCCAUGGGCAGGUUGAAGGUUGGGUAACACUAACUGGAGGACCGAACCGACUAAUGUUGAAAAAUUAGCGGAUGACCUGUGGCUGGGGGUGAAAGGCCAAUCAAACCGGGAGAUAGCUGGUUCUCCCCGAAAGCUAUUUAGGUAGCGCCUCGUGAAUUCAUCUCCGGGGGUAGAGCACUGUUUCGGCUAGGGGGCCAUCCCGGCUUACCAACCCGAUGCAAACUGCGAAUACCGGAGAAUGUUAUCACGGGAGACACACGGCGGGUGCUAACGUCCGUCGUGAAGAGGGAAACAACCCAGACCGCCAGCUAAGGUCCCAAAGUCAUGGUUAAGUGGGAAACGAUGUGGGAAGGCCCAGACAGCCAGGAUGUUGGCUUAGAAGCAGCCAUCAUUUAAAGAAAGCGUAAUAGCUCACUGGUCGAGUCGGCCUGCGCGGAAGAUGUAACGGGGCUAAACCAUGCACCGAAGCUGCGGCAGCGACGCUGAUGCGUUGUUGGGUAGGGGAGCGUUCUGUAAGCCUGCGAAGGUGGCCUGUGAGGGUUGCUGGAGGUAUCAGAAGUGCGAAUGCUGACAUAAGUAACGAUAAAGCGGGUGAAAAGCCCGCUCGCCGGAAGACCAAGGGUUCCUGUCCAACGUUAAUCGGGGCAGGGUGAGUCGACCCCUAAGGCGAGGCCGAAAGGCGUAGUCGAUGGGAAACGGGUUAAUAUUCCCGUACUUGGUGUUACUGCGAAGGGGGGACGGAGAAGGCUAUGUUGGCCGGGCGACGGUUGUCCCGGUUUAAGCGUGUAGGUGUGUGUUCCAGGUAAAUCCGGUUCACUUUAACACUGAGGCGUGAUGACGAGGCACUACGGUGCUGAAGCAACAAAUGCCCUGCUUCCAGGAAAAGCCUCUAAGCAUCAGGUAACAUCAAAUCGUACCCCAAACCGACACAGGUGGUCAGGUAGAGAAUACCAAGGCGCUUGAGAGAACUCGGGUGAAGGAACUAGGCAAAAUGGUGCCGUAACUUCGGGAGAAGGCACGCUGACACGUAGGUGAAGUGAUUUACUCAUGGAGCUGAAGUCAGUCGAAGAUACCAGCUGGCUGCAACUGUUUAUUAAAAACACAGCACUGUGCAAACACGAAAGUGGACGUAUACGGUGUGACGCCUGCCCGGUGCCGGAAGGUUAAUUGAUGGGGUCAGCGCAAGCGAAGCUCCUGAUCGAAGCCCCGGUAAACGGCGGCCGUAACUAUAACGGUCCUAAGGUAGCGAAAUUCCUUGUCGGGUAAGUUCCGACCUGCACGAAUGGCGUAAUGAUGGCCAGGCUGUCUCCACCCGAGACUCAGUGAAAUUGAACUCGCUGUGAAGAUGCAGUGUACCCGCGGCAAGACGGAAAGACCCCGUGAACCUUUACUAUAGCUUGACACUGAACAUUGAGCCUUGAUGUGUAGGAUAGGUGGGAGGCUUUGAAGUGUGGACGCCAGUCUGCAUGGAGCCGGCCUUGAAAUACCACCCUUUAAUGUUUGAUGUUCUAACGUGGACCCGUGAUCCGGGUUGCGGACAGUGUCUGGUGGGUAGUUUGACUGGGGCGGUCUCCUCCUAAAGAGUAACGGAGGAGCACGAAGGUUGGCUAAUCCUGGUCGGACAUCAGGAGGUUAGUGCAAUGGCAUAAGCCAGCUUGACUGCGAGCGUGACGGCGCGAGCAGGUGCGAAAGCAGGUCAUAGUGAUCCGGUGGUUCUGAAUGGAAGGGCCAUCGCUCAACGGAUAAAAGGUACUCCGGGGAUAACAGGCUGAUACCGCCCAAGAGUUCAUAUCGACGGCGGUGUUUGGCACCUCGAUGUCGGCUCAUCACAUCCUGGGGCUGAAGUAGGUCCCAAGGGUAUGGCUGUUCGCCAUUUAAAGUGGUACGCGAGCUGGGUUUAGAACGUCGUGAGACAGUUCGGUCCCUAUCUGCCGUGGGCGCUGGAGAACUGAGGGGGGCUGCUCCUAGUACGAGAGGACCGGAGUGGACGCAUCACUGGUGUUCGGGUUGUCAUGCCAAUGGCACUGCCCGGUAGCUAAAUGCGGAAGAGAUAAGUGCUGAAAGCAUCUAAGCACGAAACUUGCCCCGAGAUGAGUUCUCCCUGAGACUUAGAGUCUCCUGAAGGAACGUUGAAGACGACGACGUUGAUAGGCCGGGUGUGUAAGCGCAGCGAUGCGUUGAGCUAACCGGUACUAAUGAACCGUGAGGCUUAACCU